rnacentral:rRNA from 1 species
GGGUCAGUAGGUUGGUCGUGCCACCGGUACGUACUGGUCUCACCGAUUCCUCCUUCCUGAAGAACCGUAAUGCCAUUAAUUUGGUGUUGCGGGGAGACAGGACUGUUACUUUGAAAAAAUUAGAGUGUUUAAAGCAAGCUAACGCUUGAAUACAUUAGCAUGGAAUAAUGAAAUAGGACGAUCGAUCCUAUUUUGUUGGUUUCUAGGAUUGACGUA